UUCCGUUACAAAUCUGCGGGGAUCAAUCACAAACUGGCUUAUCCACCUGGCGCGCUAAUGGCAGGUUUAACACAAUGACGAUAGAGAAGCAACGGCAAGCAGCUUUUUGUUUACAUUCAACAUGGCGGUCACCGAAGUGCAGCAACCCUAAAGUACUCACCCAGA